GGGCCAGCAGCCGCGGUAAUACCGGCAGCUCAAGUGAUGUCCCAUAUUAUUGGGCCUAAAGCGUCCGUAGCUGGCCGACCAAGUCUCACGGGAUAUCCACCCGCCCAACGGGUGGGCGUCCGGUAGAAACUGGCCGGCUUGGAACCGGAAGGCUCAGAGAGUACGUCCGGGGUAGGAGUGAAAGCCCGUAAUCCCGGACGGACUACCGAUGGCGAAAGCACUCUGAGAAGACGGCUUCGACAGUGAGGGACGAAAGCACGGGUCUCAAGCCGGAUUAGAAACCCCGGUAGUCC
rnacentral:rRNA from 1 species